ensembl:processed_transcript 5530601H04Rik uncharacterized LOC110287359
UACGGCCUGAGCAUUUUGUUCCAGCACCGGUGUGAGGAAAACAUCUGAGCCCAUGAAUUGCCAGAUCCUGGAUACCAGAGACACAUCGUCUUGCUUCUCAGAUCCUUUGCUGUGAGGUUUGGAGUACAUAAUGAGGAGAAAUAAAAACAAAAAGAUCUCCAGAAAGAAGCCAUGGUAAGAUUCAAGGUUUCACAGUCCAAGCUAAUGCCUGUGGACACUUGACCAAGUGAUCUGAGAAAAUUGGAUUCCUGGCAAAACAAGUGUACCUAGACUCAGGCAAGGGUGGAGCACAGAGGACGACUAGAUUAAAUGCAAAGACUGCCCAGGCAUCCCAGUGCCCCCCAUUGACGUUCCAGAACUUCGUCAAGACAGUGAUGAGCUACAUGUCCACCUGGAGGAGGACCAUGCAGAAUACCUUCCAGCGCCAUGAACACUAGUCAGUCAGUAAUGCUGAACUUCUCGUUGUGCUCCAGCUCAGUUUUCUCAUGUUUGAUGAUAGUUCAGGAUCAAGCUCAGAAGCUCACAGCUGCCAGCAAGCACUCUACUACUGAACUGCACCAUCUCUCCAGCCCAUGCUUACUCUUGACUAGCCCCAAAGUAGUCAAUGG